CGACCAGCCACACGGGAACUGAGACACGGUCCCGACUCCUACGGGAGGCAGCAGUGGGGAAUUUUCCGCAAUGGGCGAAAGCCUGACGGAGUGACGCCGCGUGGGGGACGAAGGCCUUCGGGUUGUAAACCCCUGUCAGAGGGAAAGAAGGGCGUCGGCGUGAAUAGCGCCGGCGUCUGACGGUACCUUCAGAGGAAGCCCCGGCCAACUCUGUGCCAGCAGCCGCGGUAAGACAGAGGGGGCAAGCGUUGCUCGGAAUCACUGGGCGUAAAGGGCGCGUAGGCGGGAUGGCAAGUCAGUCGUGAAAUCUCUCGGCUCAACCGAGAAACGUCGGCUGAUACUGCCGUUCUUGAGGGAUGCAGAGGAGACUGGAAUUCCCGGUGUAGCGGUGAAAUGUGUAGAGAUCGGGAGGAACACCGGUGGCGAAGGCGGGUCUCUGGGCAUUUCCUGACGCUGAGGCGCGAAAGCGUGGGGAGCAAACGGGAUUAGAUACCCCGGUAGUCCACGCUGUAAACGAUGACGACUAGGUGUGGGGUGGGUUAGUCCACUCCGUGCCGCAGCUAACGCAUUAAGUCGUCCGCCUGGGGAGUACGGCCGCAA
rnacentral:rRNA from 1 species